rnacentral:tRNA from 2 species
CGGGAUGUGGCUCAGCCUGGUAGAGCACAUGCUUCGGGAGCAUGGGGUCGGAGGUUCAAAUCCUCUCAUCCCGACCA